GACGAACGCUGGCGGCGUGCCUAAUACAUGCAAGUAGAACGCACAGGAUGCACCGUAGUUUACUACACCGUAUUCUGUGAGUUGCGAACGGGUGAGUAACGCGUAGGUAACCUGCCUGGUAGCGGGGGAUAACUAUUGGAAACGAUAGCUAAUACCGCAUAAGAACAUUUACUGCAUGGUAGAUGCUUAAAAGGUGCAAAUGCAUCACUACCAGAUGGACCUGCGUUGUAUUAGCUAGUAGGUGAGGUAACGGCUCACCUAGGCGACGAUACAUAGCCGACCUGAGAGGGUGAUCGGCCACACUGGGACUGAGACACGGCCCAGACUCCUACGGGAGGCAGCAGUAGGGAAUCUUCGGCAAUGGGGGGAACCCUGACCGAGCAACGCCGCGUGAGUGAAGAAGGUUUUCGGAUCGUAAAGCUCUGUUGUUAAGGAAGAACGAGUGUGAGAAUGGGAAAGUUCAUACUGUGACGGUACUUAACCAGAAAGG
rnacentral:rRNA from 1 species